AGCCCCUUGGGAUUGGUCUCUCACGCUCAUCUUUUCUUUCCUUUCUUCUCAUGAAGGCCGAAGCUUGCUAAGGAAAAAGGGCAAGGAAUUUCUUGAAGAUUUAGGCAAAACUAGUAAAAUUUUAUCAUACAAAACUUAUAGCUUUAGGUCUUGUGAUCCUAAAUCUCCAUUCUUUUCACCUUGGAAAGUUUUAUAUCUUGAGUUAGCCUUCUCUAAAGCGGGCUGGUACUGUUCAUCCAAGAUGUAGAAGUUGGGUUUUCUUCAAGUCCUUAAGUUGGAAUAUGCUGUUUAUGUUCAAGUGAAGCUAUUUAAGAGUGAAAUCGGACGAAGUAGGUGGACGAACAACUUGUAGACAACCAAGUUACGGUGUAUUAAAUAGCAAGUUAGCAGCAGGAAAGAGGUGACAGGUAUCGCAGCAGUUGACGAUCGUUCUCGGGGCAAGAGGCCCGUGGUUGAUGAGUAGAUCUGAGCAUAGCUGAUGCCUGCUUAUUUUGGGAGUCUGUCGUAUUUAUAUGUACACUGUGAUGUAUUAUGUUUAUGUAGGUUGAUGUAGGAUGUUGUAGUUAUGACACAUAGCCACCUUUUGAUAUGAUAUAUAUAGAGUUAUGGAUCAUGUAUGUAUACUACUGUAUAUGAUAUGGAAUUGUUGUAUAUUGUGGGUUGUAAGAGCCCCAAGGCAUUGCUGGUCCUUGUGUGUGCCACCCAUUGGAUUAUUAGGUAUAUUUGUGGUAUUAGCAAGCUUAUG